rnacentral:snRNA from 1 species
AUACUUACCUGGCAGGGGAGAUAUCAUGGUCACGAAGGUGGUUUUCCCAGGUUGAGGCUUACCUAGUGUACUCAUAUUUGCUGACCUCUGAUAUUUCCCCAAAUGUUGGAAACUUAACUGCAUAGUUUAUGGUAGUAUGGGACUGCAUUUGUGGUCUCUCCUG